GGAAAUAACAGGGGCAACUGAACAUCCUCCAUCCUGCAGGACAUGAUUCUUGGGAGGGGGAGGGGCAAGACUGUUGAGGGCAAAUUAAGGUUCCAUAUUCACCUGUGAUCUCACUGUGCCUGCCUUGCAUCUCUCUGGUCUGCAAUUUUGCACAUCUCACUUCCAAUCCAUUGGAUUACUUAAUAAACUGUGUAGAUCUCUCUGUCCUUAACACUACCCUCCUGCAAUCAGGUCAUGACUGACGGGAUGUCAGUACUCUUUCAAGAUACGAUAUAUAUAAUU